GAAAGGUCAUGGAGACAUGGCUGGAUGCUUCACAUACCGGCAUCCCAAUUAGG
rfam:Blautia sp. CAG:52 genomic scaffold, scf270